CGACGAGAUGCACGUGAAUGCAUCAUUCCUGACAACUGCGUAGUUCAGGGUCCACUGUGUAUUCCUGCUCAACUGUAACUCAACUCAAAGAUGUCCAACGUCACUGCACUCAGCCUGCGUCUUCUCCACUGCUACUCAAAGCACGGUACAUCCGGACAUGGUCCAGGCGUCCUGCGCCCGUUUAGUCUCAGUGUCCAUAGGGAGGGUUUCAAGUAUGUGAACGCUCUGGAGCCGCCAACAGACCUGAGGUCCAUCACUGACCGGGCUGCAACAACCCUCUUGUGGACUGAACUUUUCAGAGGUUUGGCGAUGACCAUGAGUUACUUGUUCCGUGAACCCGCCACCAUCAACUACCCAUUUGAGAAGGGACCUCUGUCACCCCGCUUCCGUGGAGAGCAUGCCCUUCGCCGCUACCCUAACGGAGAGGAGCGCUGCAUUGCCUGUAAACUGUGCGAGGCCAUCUGCCCUGCUCAGGCCAUCACCAUUGAAGCUGAGACUCGAGCUGACGGCAGCAGGAGGACUACGCGCUACGACAUUGAUAUGACCAAGUGUAUUUACUGCGGCUUCUGCCAGGAGGCCUGUCCUGUUGAUGCCAUUGUGGAGGGUCCCAACUUUGAAUUUUCCACAGAGACCCACGAGGAGCUGCUGUACAACAAGGAGAAGCUGCUGAACAAUGGAGACAGAUGGGAGGCGGAGAUAGCAGCCAACAUACAAGCAGACUACCUGUACAGAUAGACUGUUGAAUCUGCACUGACACACUGACAACAAAGAUGUGUGACACGUGAAAUUAUGUGUCUCAUCAUCGUUCUAUGCACUAAAGAGAUUACAGGGCCCGAGCACCAAACCGUAGGAGACAGUGGAAGGGCCUAUUGAAAUUGUAAGGAUUAUUAUUUAUUUUUUCUUCAGGCAAAUGAAUUGGCUUUUUGAGGGCUUUAACAUGCUAAAAUUCUGACCAAAAUUUACGUAUUCUGGGGUUAUUUUAAAUGGGCGUGCCAAAAUGUCUCAAUGGCGCCGCCCGAGACCCCUGGAACGCGUUCACAUUGACCGAUCUUCACAAAAAUCGAUAAAGAGGAUUAUCAUGACCAGACAGACAUACAUUUUGCAUUAAGUGGCCAUUUGGGCAAGAGUCCCGGCUUGAUGACAUCUAGACAGAAAUCGUGACUUAAAAUCUUAGAACAUUGAUAAUGUAAACAUAAGAUUACUGUGACGUGGCGUCGAAGUUCAUCAACUCGCCUUGACACACAAAAUGGCUACAAAUUCGGUGUUGGAGCUUCAACCUCCCUUAAACUACAUUUGUGUAUCUUCUGAAGUUGAUAUCAUAAACUGUAACCCAUGUAACCUAUGCACAUGCUUGUUAUAGACUAUCUUCUACUGCACUUUAAGAAAUCAAGGUUCAUCUUAUUUAAUAGGUCGGACAUUUCUGAAAAUAUAUUUAUGUAUGUUGCUGACGCUAUUUAGGAAAGUGAGAGAAGUAAAUCCUGUUUUUAAACUUUAACUGUCUGUUGUAUUGAAGCUGGUGCUUAAACAGUUGGUCGAGUGAUAGAUUAUUAAAUGCCAAUAUGUUUGCUAUUUAAUUGAUUGUUCAAAACAUCUGGAUCCAGCUUAUAAUAUGUGAGGAGUCGCUGCUUUUCGUAGUUUUGUAUUACAUCAAGGGUAUUUUAUGGACAUUUUUGGUUUUGUUGCUCAAAGGAAACAAGGGGUUUCAGAAUGUGAACAGUGUGUUUAGGCAGCGGAUAGUAAUGAAUAUGUGCCAUCCAAAUGAAGUCUGGAUCUAGUAAAUUUUAAUGUGGUUACAUAAACACAGUUUAAUAUUAAUUAGAGCUAAAGAGACCAAGCAAU